CCCAAAUUUCUCCCCCAGGUUCUGCGGGAGGCGCUGGAGCCGAGCCUGCCCCCCCCCAGCUCCGAGCUUUCGCUGGAGCCGCUGGAGGAGGAGCCAAGCAUCCCACCACUUCCGGCUCCGCCCCCCGAGGCUCUCCCGGAAGUUCCGGAAGCGCCGGCGAUCGACGUCCGCAGGCUGAUCCUUGACCACGCCCAACUUCCGGAAGGGGCGGAGCUUGCCGCCAUCUUGGACCCGGCUUGGCCACGCCCACUCGUGGCUCGGGCCUUUGCAAUCUGCCUGGAGCUCUGCGCCUCCCAUUGGCUGCAGCUGGAGCAGCCCCGCCCCUACGGACCAAUCAGGAUCAAGCUCCGCCCACCGCGCCAAUAAACCACGCCCACGUGACCAUA